AAGUCGUAACAAGGUUUCCGUAGGUGAACCUGCGGAAGGAUCAUUACAGUGUCUGGAGGCCGACCGGCGGCGUUUCCCUCACGGGGAGCGUCGUGGCUCGUGCCCCCUCCACACGUGUUUACUACACCCUGUUGCCUUGGUGGGUCUGCCCUUGUGGCUGCCGGGGGUCACCUUGUGUGCCCCGGGCCCGUACCCACCGAUGGACACCCUGAACUCUUUAUGAAUAUAGUGUUGUCUGAGCGUUUAGCAAAUUAAACAAAACUUUCAACAAUGGAUCUCUUGGUUCUG
rnacentral:misc_RNA from 1 species